UACAGAGGUCCCAAGCGUUGUUCGGAUUCACUGGGCGUAAAGGGCGCGUAGGCGGCGCGGUAAGUCACUUGUGAAAUCUCUGAGCUUAACUCAGAACGGCCAAGUGAUACUGCAGUGCUAGAGUGCAGAAAGGGCAAUCGGAAUUCUUGGUGUAGCGGUGAAAUGCGUAGAUAUCAAGAGGAACACCUGAGGCGAAGGCGGGUUGCUAGGCUGACACUGACGCUGAGUGCGCGAAAGCCAGGGGAGCAAACGGG
rnacentral:rRNA from 1 species